CUACUACUCCCUCCGUCCGAAAAUACUUGUCAUUGAAAUGGAUGUAUCUAGAUGUAUUUUAGUUCUAGACACAUCCAUUUUGAUGACAAGUAAUUCCGGACGGAGGGAGUAUGAU
rfam:Triticum aestivum genome assembly, contig: Triticum_aestivum_CS42_TGACv1_scaffold_147950_2BS